UAGCUUGCUACCUGACCUAGCGGCGGACGGGUGAGUAAUGCUUAGGAAUCUGCCUAUUAGUGGGGGACAACAUUCCGAAAGGAAUGCUAAUACCGCAUACGCCCUACGGGGGAAAGCAGGGGAUCUUCGGACCUUGCGCUAAUAGAUGAGCCUAAGUCAGAUUAGCUAGUUGGUGGGGUAAAGGCCUACCAAGGCGACGAUCUGUAGCGGGUCUGAGAAGAUGAUCCGCCACACUGGGACUGAGACACGGCCCAGACUCCUACGGGAGGCAGCAGUGGGGAAUAUUGGACAAUGGGCGAAAGCCUGAUCCAGCCAUGCCGCGUGUGUGAAGAAGGCCUUUUGGUUGUAAAGCACUUUAAGCGAGGAGGAGGCUACUUGGAUUAAUACUCUAGGAUAGUGGACGUUACUCGCAGAAUAAGCACCGGCUAACUCUGUGCCAGCAGCCGCGGUAAUACAGAGGGUGCGAGCGUUAAUCGGAUUUACUGGGCGUAAAGCGUGCGUAGGCGGCUUUUUAAGUCGGAUGUGAAAUCCCUGAGCUUAACUUAGGAAUUGCAUUCGAUACUGGGAAGCUAGAGUAUGGGAGAGGAUGGUAGAAUUCCAGGUGUAGCGGUGAAAUGCGUAGAGAUCUGGAGGAAUACCGAUGGCGAAGGCAGCCAUCUGGCCUAAUACUGACGCUGAGGUACGAAAGCAUGGGGAGCAAACAGGAUUAGAUACCCUGGUAGUCCAUGCCGUAAACGAUGUCUACUAGCCGUUGGGGCCUUUGAGGCUUUAGUGGCGCAGCUAACGCGAUAAGUAGACCGCCUGGGGAGUACGGUCGCAAGACUAAACUCAAAUGAAUUGACGGGGGCCCGCACAAGCGGUGGAGCAUGUGGUUUAAUUCGAUGCAACGCGAAGAACCUUACCUGGUCUUGACAUAGUAAGAACUUUCCAGAGAUGGAUUGGUGCCUUCGGGAACUUACAUACAGGUGCUGCAUGGCUGUCGUCAGCUCGUGUCGUGAGAUGUUGGGUUAAGUCCCGCAACGAGCGCAACCCUUUUCCUUAUUUGCCAGCGGGUUAAGCCGGGAACUUUAAGGAUACUGCCAGUGACAAACUGGAGGAAGGCGGGGACGACGUCAAGUCAUCAUGGCCCUUACGACCAGGGCUACACACGUGCUACAAUGGUCGGUACAAAGGGUUGCUACCUAGCGAUAGGAUGCUAAUCUCAAAAAGCCGAUCGUAGUCCGGAUUGGAGUCUGCAACUCGACUCCAUGAAGUCG
rnacentral:rRNA from 1 species